CAGCAGCCGCGGGAAUACGUAGGGUGCAAGCGUUAAUCGGAAUUACUGGGCGUAAAGCGUGCGCAGGCGGUUAUAUAAGUCAGAUGUGAAAUCCCCGGGCUCAACCUGGGAACUGCAUUUGAGACUGUAUGGCUAGAGUGUGUCAGAGGGGGGUAGAAUUCCACGCGUAGCAGUGAAAUGCGUAGAUAUGUGGAGGAAUACCGAUGGCGAAGGCAGCCCCCUGGGAUAACACUGACGCUCAUGCACGAAAGCGUGGGGAGCAAACAGGAUUAGAUACCCCUGUAGUCCCUGUCUCUUAUAC
rnacentral:rRNA from 1 species